rnacentral:rRNA from 1 species
AAUCUACCUUUUACAGAGGAAUAGCCCAGAGAAAUUUGGAUUAAUGCCCCAUGGUAUUACGACUUGGCAUCAAGAUGUAAUUAAAGUUCCAACGGUAAAAGAUGAGCAUGCGUCCUAUUAGCUUGUUGGUAAGGUAACGGCUUACCAAGGCUACGAUAGGUAGGGGUCCUGAGAGGGAGAUCCCCCACACUGGUACUGAGACACGGACCAGACUCCUACGGGAGGCAGCAGUGAGGAAUAUUGGACAAUGGGCGCAAGCCUGAUCCAGCCAUGCCGCGUGCAG